rnacentral:rRNA from 1 species
CCUACGGGAGGCAGCAGUGAGGAAUAUUGGUCAAUGGGCGCGAGCCUGAACCAGCGACGUAGCGUGAAGGAUGACUGCCCUACGAGUUUUAAACUUCUUUUAUAAAGGAAUACGGUGAGGCACGUGUUCCUUUUUGUAUGUACUUUAUCAAUAAGGAUCGGAUAACUCCGCGCCAGCCGCCGAGGUACUACGGAGGAUCCGAGGGUUAUCAGAAUUUAUUGUGUUUAAAGGGAGCGUAGCUGGGUUGUUAAGUCAGUUGUGAAAGUGUGCGGCUCAACCGGAAAAUUGCACUGGAUACUGGCAGACUGGAGUAUAGUAGAGGUAGGCGGAAUUCGUGGGGUAGCGGUGAAA